ACGAGUCCCAAACAGGACGAAACGCGCGUCCUGGAU
rfam:Schistosoma mattheei strain Denwood, Zambia genome assembly, scaffold: SMTD_contig0015469